rnacentral:rRNA from 1 species
GACGAACGCUGGCGGCGUGCUUAACACAUGCAAGUCGAACGGAAAGGCCCUGCUUGCAGGGUACUCGAGUGGCGAACGGGUGAGUAACACGUGGGUGAUCUGCCCUGCACUUCGGGAUAAGCCUGGGAAACUGGGUCUAAUACCGGAUAGGAGCCAUUUUUAGUGUGAUGGUUGGAAAGUUUUUUCGGUGUAGGAUGAGCUCGCGGCCUAUCAGCUUGUUGGUGGGGUAAUGGCCUACCAAGGCGGCGACGGGUAGCCGGCCUGGGAGGGUGGACGGCCACAUUGGGGCUGAGGGACGGCCCAGACUCCUACGGGAGGCAGCAGUGGGGAAUAUUGCACAAUGGGCGCAAGCCUGAUGCAGCGACGCCGCGGGGGGGAUGACGGCCUUCGGGUUGGAAACUCCUUUCGCUAGGGACGAAGCUUUUUGUGACGGUACCUAGAUAAGAAGCACCGGCUAACUACGUG